rnacentral:rRNA from 1 species
UACAGAGGUCUCAAGCGUUGUUCGGAUUCAUUGGGCGUAAAGGGUGCGUAGGCGGCGCGGUAAGUCGGGUGUGAAAUCUUGGAGCUUAACUCCGAAACUGCAUUUGAUACUGGCGUGCUUGAGGACUGGAGAGGAGACUGGAAUUCAUGGUGUAGCAGUGAAAUGACGUAGAGAUCAUGAGGAAGACCAGUGGCGAAGGCGGGUCUCUGGACAGUUCCUGACACUGAGGCACGAAGGCCAGGGGAGCAAACGGG